AUUAAGCAAACUGGACAUUUCAACGUUUUUGGAACAUUCUAAAUAAACGUUCAUAGAACGUUAUAUUUUUUAUGAAAUGUAAGUUUCAAGAACGUUGUAGGAACGUUAUACUAACCAUAAAAAAACGUUCUGGGAACAUUAAACAAACUGGACAUUUCAACGUUAUUUGCAACGUUCAAAAUAACGUUUCCACAGCCAAAAGGGAACGUUAGGAAAACGUUCUCACAACAUAAAUUUGUUAGCUGGGCUAUUAGCAAAACGCUGGCUGCGUCCGAAAUUGAAUACUUCUCUACUAUAUAGUAUGGAAAAAGCAGUAUGCGACAAAUUAGUAUGUUUGAAUCUUUUGCGUUCAUAAAAGAGUAGGCGAGAAUUGCAAUAACUCUCGCGAGAUUCAGUUGUACGUAUACUUAAUUUGCGUUCUAAUAUGCCUACUCACCUACUAUAUAGUAGGGAAAAAGAGUAUGUGAAGAAAGAAGUACGUUCGAAACCUUGAACCAUAAAACAGUAGGCGAGUAAUCCCCAGAUGUCCUACUGCUUCAGCCAAGAUUCUGAAGGGUUCAUCGAGGGAUACUUUUCAAUCCCAGAAUGCCACGCGGAAAGGAUAAAUCGUCAUCGAACGUGAAGGAGAGCAGCGUAGAGGGUGUUUACAAAGGUGAGUAUUAUAAAACAAAACAUGGUUCCCAUGUGAUAAAAUCGUAUUUGUUGAGCUACUGUAGAGUAUGCUGUUGAUUUGUUGAGAUGUAAAGACGCUAUAAAGCCAGUAACAUCAGUAUAUUUGUGAUGAAAAACAACAUCAAAACAUGUUUUAUUAUGUAAAGCGAACAACGGAUCUCCAGUAAGCAUAUGUACGUCUCCAAAGUGGAUUUGCAUGAACCAUAUACAUCUUAAAGACGAUUAAUUGUCUGUUUAAUAUGAGACAGAGAAAUAUUCUAAGAGAAUUGCUUAUGAGCAAAUCACAUGAACAGACAUUUGAGUGAGAGAUGUGUAUGUUAUUAUAUAGAAUCAACUGUCUACAUUGCUUUAGAUUAAUGUAAGUAAUGUAAAUAAAUAAAUCUACAUUAAGUAAACAUAAGUUAUCUAUUUCAUUUGACCAUUAGUAUUGUUGAUAAAUUGUGGAGCUCUUGUGUUGGAUAAAGUGAGUGAACACAUCAGCAUCUAUCUCAACAUGUAAAUGCAGUAUAUCACAGAUAAUCACAGAGACUGACUCUUGUCUGGAUGUUACAGGGACAGAUGAGACACACGUGUGUUUAUCUGCUGCAGAGAGACUGAUGAAGAAAUGAUGCCAUCAAAGAUUCUCAAUCUUUUGUGUUGGAGCAGGUGACAGCAGCAUCUGUGGAAAAAUAUAAAAGGAUCUGAAAUGUCUGCAGACAGCUGUGUGCUCUGAGGAUGAAGAAGAUGGAGUGCCAUGGGUGAAAUGCUCCAUCACUGCAUCUCCUCUUGUUUUCUCAUCAGGACCAGAUCCUGCUGUGGUCUCUUCAUCUUCAG